rnacentral:rRNA from 1 species
AACGCUAGCUACAGGCUUAACACAUGCAAGUCGAGGGGCAGCAGGGAUUUAGCUUGCUAAAUUCGCUGGCGACCGGCGCACGGGUGCGUAACGCGUAUCCAACCUUCCCGUUACUCCGGGAUAGCCUUCCGAAAGGGAGAUUAAUACCGGAUAGUGUUCAAAUGUCGCAUGUUAUUUGAACUAAAGAUUUAUCGGUAACGGAUGGGGAUGCGUGACAUUAGAUAGUAGGCGGGGUAACGGCCCACCUAGUCUACGAUGUCUAGGGGUUCUGAGAGGAAGAUCCCCCACACUGGAACUGAGACACGGUCCAGACUCCUACGGGAGGCAGCAGUGAGGAAUAUUGGUCAAUGGCCGAGAGGCUGAACCAGCCAAGUAGCGUGAAGGAUGAAGGUUCUAUGGAUUGUAAACUUCUUUUAUACGGGAAUAACACCAUCUACGUGUAGAUGCCUGCAUGUACCGUAUGAAUAAGCAUCGGCUAACUCCGUGCCAGCAGCCGCGGUAAUACGGAGGAUGCGAGCGUUAUCCGGAUUUAUUGGGUUUAAAGGGAGCGUAGACGGGAUGUUAAGUCAGUUGUGAAAUGCUGUGGCUCAACCAUAGCACUGCAGUUGAUACUGGCGUUCUUGAGUGCGUAUGAGGUACGUGGAAUUCGUGGUGUAGCGGUGAAAUGCUUAGAUAUCACGAAGAACUCCGAUUG